UUCACAUAACCAUAUUCAUAAGUAUGUCAUGCCAAAACAUAAAAUAGAAUAAGUAACUCAGGUAAAAAUAGAUUCAUGGAAAAUAACAUAUUAGCCAGAAACCCUGCAGAAGUUUAUACGGCUGAAUUCAUAGCUCAUUAGUCAAUUUAGCCAAAGUCACUACAAAUGACCUAUACGGCACUACACUGCACACAAGUCCGAUCCACUAAAAGGUAUGUACGACAAGAUUGGGUAUAAUAUAGUUAUGCUCAAUGCUACACACUCAUGAUAGCUAUGCGAUAAAUCGCUAGUCACCUACGAGUCGAAACCACCUAUAGUAGUCUAUACGACAAGACUGUGCACCUGAAUUGGAUCCAAUGUGAGCAUAUGGUGCGAGAGGUGACAUUAUAUACAGGCUUGUGCCAUAUCUCUGGCUAAUCACUAACACCCGGGUGCAUGUUUAUGAGCUCAAUGUUUCUCAAUUAAUCACAACCGUUAUUCACAUUCACAAUUCUUAUACUCACCUGGGA
rnacentral:lncRNA from 1 species